GAACCGGCGGAGCGCAACUUCCCCAACCAGGACGACCGCGUGGAGAACAAGGAGGGCCUCCUCCAAAGCCUG